GACGAACGCUGGCGGCGUGCUUAACACAUGCAAGUCGAACGGAAAGGCCCCUUUGGGGGUACUCGAGUGGCGCACGGGUGCGUAACACGUGCGUAACCUGCCCUUGACUUCGGGAUAACUUCAGGAAACUGGGGCUAAUACCGGAUAGGAAUCCUAGCUGCAUGGUGGGGGUUGGAAAGCUUCGGCGGUUUUGGAUGGACUCGCGGCUUAUCAGCUUGUUGGUGGGGUAGUGGCUUACCAAGGCUUUGACGGGUGGCCGGCCUGAGAGGGCGACCGGCCACAUUGGGUCUGAGAUACGGCCCAGACUCCUACGGGAGGCAGAAGUGGGGAAUAUUGCACAAUGGGCGGAAGCCUGAUGCAGCAACGCCGCGUGCGGGAUGACGGCCUUCGGGUUGUAAACCGCUUUCAGCAGGGGCGAAGCUUGUGGUGACGGUACCUGCAGAAGAAGCACCGGCUAACUACGUG
rnacentral:rRNA from 1 species